UAUUCAUGAGGAAUUCUUAUCCAGUUCUGCUACUGAAUCCUCAGCGACGAUAACCCCUUAACCAAUUUUCUGAUGA